ensembl:lncRNA
GGGCGGCAGGGUAGCCUAGUGGUUAGAGUGUAGGGGCGGCAGGGUAGCCUAGUGGUUAGAGUGGAGGGGUGGCAGGGUAGCCUAGUGGUUAGAGUGUAGGGGCGGCAGGUAGCCUAGUGGUUAGAGUGUAGGGGCGGCAGGUAGUCUAGUGGUUAGAGUUUGGAGGCGGCAGGUAGCCCAGUGGUUAGAGUGUAGGGGCGGCAGGGUAGCCUAGUGGUUAGAGUGUAGGGGCAGCAGGUAGCCUAGUGGUUAGAGUGUAGAGGAGGCAGGGUAGCCUAGUGGUUAGAGUGUAGGGGCGGCAGGUAGCCUAGUGGUUAGAGUGUAGGGGCGGCAGGGUAGCCUAGUGGUUAGAGUGUAGGGGCGGCAGGGUAGCCUAGUGGUUAGAGUGGAGGGGCGGCAGGGUAGCCUAGUGGUUAGAGUGGAGGGGCGGCAGGGUAGCCUAGUGGUUAGAGUGUAGGGGCGGCAGGGUAGCCUAGUGGUUAGAGUGUAGAGGCGGCAGGGUAGCCUAGUGGUUAGAGUGGAGGGGCGGCAGGGUAGCCUAGUGGUUAGAGUGUAGGGGCGGCAGGGUAGCCUAGUGGUUAGAGUGUAGGGGCGGCAGGGUAGCCUAGUGGUUAGAGUGUAGAGGGGGCAGGGUAGCCUAGUGGUUAG